rnacentral:rRNA from 1 species
CCUACGGGAGGCUGCAGUGGGGAAUAUUGCACAAUGGGGGAAACCCUGAUGCAGCGACGCCGCGUGAGUGAAGAAGUAUCUCGGUACGUAAAGCUCUAUCAGCAGGGAAGAAAAUGACGGUACCUGACUAAGAAGCCCCGGCUAACUACGUGCCAGCAGCCGCGGUAAUACGUAGGGGGCAAGCUUUAUCCGGAUUUACUGGGGGGAAAGGGAGCGUAGAGGGGAGCACAAGUCUGGAGUGAAAUCCCGGGGCUUAACCCCGGAACUGCUUUGGAAACUGUGCGGCUGGAGUGCAGGAGGGGUAAGCGGAAUUCCUAGUGUAGCGGUGAAAUGCGUAGAUAUUAGGAGGAACACCGAUGGCGAAGGCGGCUUACUGGACUGUAACUGACGUUGAGGCUCGAAAGCGUGGGGAGCAAACAGGAUUAGAUACCCGAGUAGUC